rnacentral:rRNA from 1 species
AACGAACGCUGGCGGCAUGCCUAACACAUGCAAGUCGAACGAGACCUUCGUGUCUAGUUGCGCUCGCGGGCGUAACGCGGGGGAACCUGCCCGUAGGUUCCGAAUAACUCCCCUUAGGGGGGGCUAAUGCCGGGUAAUUUAUUCGGACCAAAGAUUUAUCGCCUUUGGAUGGGCGCGGGUUGGAUUAGCUAGUUGGUAGGGUAAAAGCCUAUCAAGGCGAGGAUCCAUAGCUGGUCUGAGAGGAUGAUCAGCCACACUGGGAAGCAGACACGGCCCAGACUCUUACGGGAGGCAGGCGUGGGUAAUACUGGACAAUGGGGGAAAGCAUGAUCGCGCAAUGGCGGGUGAGUCAUGAAGGUGUUAGGGUUGUACAGCUGUUUUACACGGGACGAUAAUGACAGUACCGGGAGAAUAAGCUCCGGCUAACUUCGUG